GUUAUUUAAACUAUUGCCCUUCAAAGGCGAAAAAAAAAGACAGACUUUUAAAUCUUA
rnacentral:tRNA from 1 species